CAGGGUCCCGGGUCCUGGAUGAGUUCCACAUGGGGCUCCCUGCUCAGCAGGGAAUCUGCUUCUUCCUCUGCCCUCCUCCUCUGCUCCAAUGUGCCUGUGCAUGUGCUCUCUCUCUCAUAAAAAGUAAAUAAAAAUCUUAAAAAAAAAAAAAAAUAUAUAUAUAUAUAUAUAUAUAUAUAUGAGUAUGUCUGAAAGCACGAUCAAGUUUAAAUAAUGUAACUUUAAAUUUAAAAUAGUGGCCUUGGGCAGCUGGGUGGCUCAGCGGUUUAACGCCGCCUUCAGCCCAGGAUGUGAUCCUGGAGUCCUGGGAUCGAGUCCCGUGUCAGGCUCCCUGCAUGGAGCCUGCUUCUCCCUCUGCCUGUGUCUCUGCCUCUGUGUGUAUGUGUGUAUCUCUCAUGAAUAAAUAAACAAAAUCUUUAAAAAAAAAACAACUUAAAAAAAUAAAAUAGUGGCCUUGAGGCUUGGUCUUAAACACAAGGUAUUGUCAAGGAUUCAUUUGUUCCACCUAGAAGAGACAGGAAAGCUCUCUGAGCAGGUUUUGGAAGUGAUCCCCAAGCUCUUCCACCCAAACAAAGAUGUAAACAAGGAUAAAAUUCCAAUACCACAUCAGUUUCCACACCAGCAAAUAUCUGCUUUAGUUUAAUGUAAAAGGAUUAACUGUAAUAAGGGUGAGGUAGACUGGAAGAAGUGGAGACCAGAUCUAGAUACCUCAUGGAAUCGGAGGCAGACCCAGCUGGCGUGAUGAGCAAGCAGCCAGAAGACAGUAUCUGGAGGGUGUGGAAUGGGUAGUAGCCAGGAAGGCAGCCAACACGAGGCUGGUUCAACACAGAGAAUGCAAAUGUUAUAAGCCAGUGGGCAGCUGGAACACAACCUUGGGAAGUCCAGGAGCAGACAAAAAUGAGGAAAUCAUGGCAAGCAUUAAGAAAAUAUGUUGCUUGUAGCAAAGCCUCCGCUUCAGUGCUGUCUUCCAGGUCUGGAUUCCUCUCCCUAUGGAACUGAUGGAAGAAUUCAGGUCCUUGAGAUAAUGUGCUGGGAGCCUAGAGAUGUGAGUCCAGUGAUACCAACCACUGAGUAAAAGGGGGUGAACAGAAUAAGCAGGCCCCGAAGGUAGAAAAAGCAGCUAUGGACUACGUUUUUUCGGCUCUGGAUUGGUAAGUGCAUUUUAGAAAAAUGCUAAUUAAGUUAGC
rnacentral:lncRNA from 1 species